AACCCACUAUUGGGUUUGACCUUGUAAGCUAACUCAUAUAGAAUGGCUUUAUCUUCAUCCAUUGUUAACUUGUUAUAGUAUAAACCUUCUUUAUUAAAUAAAAUUCUAGGUUACAUACCAAAAAAAAAAAAAAACUAGGAAAUCCAAUUCCUUAAAUUCAAGUUUUGUUGGGAAGCAAUAUCAGUUUGCUUAUGUGCAUAACAUCAUCUAGGAAAUUCGGAUGCAUAACCAGUAUUACUGAAAGUGCAAUUAGGCAUAAGAGGCAUGAGUUAAAAUAGAAGUGGCUUCAUAAACAAAAUAUGAGUCCUUUGCUUAGGUGGCCGAGAGUGGCAAUGCCUUUUUCCUUAACGCAUACGGCUCACAAAUUGCAUGGCUACAUUAACUUUGAUUAACAUAUUAACUAGUAAGUCAUUUCCUUCCCAAAUGUAUCUAGUUCUCUGAUCACCUAAUGGUCUACACUCUACAGGUCCAAAAAAGAAAAACCUCUCCCAUUGUGUAGUUUGGGAAAUUGUUGUAUCAUUUGCUUGAUGCUGUGGAGCUUAGCAGGCUAACAAUGAAUACUGUGAAGCAAAAUCUCUGGUGGGCUUUUGCAUACAAUAUUGUUGGAAUUCCAAUUGCUGCUGGAUUGUUGUUGCCGGUAACUGGGACUAUGUUGACUCCAAUUGCUGGAGCCCUCAUGAGGUUGAGUUCUAUUGGGGUCAUGGCCAAUUCAUUGCUUUUGAGAUUCAAAUUCCUCUCGCAACAGAAGUCAGAAACAGAUAUAUAGUUCAUAUGGAAAUGCCUUAACAUCCUUUUGGAUUCUGAUCUUGAAGGGGACCAAAAAGAGAAAAAAUAGAGCAUCGUUAUUCUGAUGCUAGUUGGAGAGAGAGACGAUAACAGUAUAUAUGUUUGGGUGAUAUUGGUUUGGGGACUCAGCACCAGGAUACAACCUAUAGUUUCUUUCCCAUCUAUUAUUAAUCUUGCACUCUUGGAAGUUGUAUUUGAGGGAUCGCUGAGCCUCGUAAAAAGUGCAGUAAA